rnacentral:lncRNA from 1 species
UGUAAGUGAUCAGAAAAAUAUAACUUAGUUUCGCAUAGCAUAUAAAUCGAACCUGAAAUGUGGUGAUAUCCCAAACCCUUCUCCUUACCACUUAACCGCAAAUUCCCGGUCCUUUUUAUAUAUUCUUACUUCAAAACUAUCUUUGUUCUUGUUUUGUCGUCUUUUUUGAAAGAAUUGAUAAAUCUUUAUCAAAGCUCUAAUUUUUCCUUUUCUUUCUUGUUGAUGAAAUAUCUUGAUUUAUUCAAUACACAUUUCAAGAUAAAUCACCAAAACCUAAUUUAAAAAGGCAAAACAAAAUAAAGGAUGGAACCUCCAGAUGUUUCAUAUAAAACAAAAGAAAAAUAAAGAUAAAAACAUGAUUAUAUGUUUGUCUAGACUAAGUGGUGGUUUCGUCACUAUAUAAUUUAUAUAACAAACUUAUAGUUCUUUUGACCGAAACACAAAAAAAAAAAAGAAGCAAAUUAAUGUUUCAAUUGACGGCAAAUAAUAGAUAUAAUUCGGAAAUAGUUCGAGUCUCACUCUAGUCUCUAGUCAAAAAGUUCAAAACCAAAAAGGAGAAUAAAGUUUGUUCAUUGCAGGAGGAAACGAAAGAAGCAAAACUUGCACCGCCAAAAUAGCAAGAAACACGAUUUGGAGCGACUGCUUAAAAUGGCACCUUUAUUUGAAAGAAAACUUGUGGAUCGGAUAUACUUAGAAAGAUCAUGUGUAAUGAUUUUCUUUCACAUGUUGGACAACACUAUCUGAUAUACUUAACAAAAAAUAUCAUAAACCAUGUAUAGUUUACAAAACAACGUUACUCUUGUAUUCCUUU